UUGGUUUCUAUAUUUUAAGUUCUGUCAUUUUUUAACAAAGUAAAAUUACAGUGUGAAAAUGCUAUAUCUUAUGUUAACCCUUCAUAAAUGGAGGAGUGUGUUCUCACAUACUCUUUGUUUGUCUUUUUCGACUUUCUGACACCAACCUGCUUUCACGUAGUUGUCUUUCUAAUUGAAUUGGAUAGUUCACAUUGAGAAACCUUUAACUCACUUUUUUGGCUUGCUUUUGCUUUGUCUCGACAACUUUAGAGUUUUUAAAAUCUCUAUUUUCUAUCUGUUUUGUGGAUGUGACCUCCUUUUCUUUUGAAUUUAUUAUAUUUAUAGUUAUGAAAUGAUUUUGUGGUCGGAAAAUGUCGGUUAUUUCACCUAUAGGUGAUCAUGGUUAAUGCAGCUCCCUUUCUAUGGGUUUCAUUGUCAUGCCACUCUUGGUCCUUAUUGAAAUCUUUGGAAAGGUUGACAUUAGAGCAAAGGAAGCAUGGUUUAAGCUAAGUGGUCAUCGACUGAUGUAGUCGAAGUGGGCGUAUCAUACGACACUAUUGAAGUUGUUAUCAACAAAAGAGUUCGCCCGACGAACUUAUCUUGGACUUGUUUCAUAGCGGCGAACAUGUCUCAGAUUGUCUUCCGAAUAUGCCUAAUAGGUUUUAGGAGAUUGUUUUUUAAAAUGUAAAUUAGCACUCGUUGUUUGUAGAAUUUCAGCAUUCUUUGUAUGACAUGAAAGAUUGUACUUGUAUUUUACCUAAAGCAGUAAAGAUUGUUAUUCGUUUUAUGUCCAAAGAAGUAAAAU